GUGGGCGCUGCGGCUCCGCGGCUGGGCUGGCGGGGCGGGGGCGGGGGCAGCGGCAGCACCACCACGUGGCCGCCCGGCGCCGGCCCCGCCGACCCGGAUCCCGCGGGAGCGGGAAGGGAGGUGCUAACCAUUCCCCUCCCCUUCCACCCCGCCGGGCCCUAAAUUCCGCGAGUCAGGUGACCCGGCCAGGCUCUCCGGUCCAGACCUGCGAGAGUUGCCCAGGAUCCGGCAGCGAGCCCUGGGCGGCGCUGGCCUGCUCUUAGUUUUGCGUGGAUCGUGGAACCCUUCCCCGCGGAUGUGUUCCAUCGUCAUCACCUGAAGUAACUGGAAAGGACCGUGGUGGUGCACUGCAGGGUGCUGGGUGGGCAGGAGCCACGCUGCCCCUGAGGAGUUUUCUGUUCUGCUUCCAGCAGGGUCCUGUCUCUGCAGCCCUCUGCCUCGAUGAGCCUACCUGCCCGUGUCAGCUUGGGGUUUCCGUGGCUUGUGUAUUUUCAUUCUCCUUAGUUCAUAAGCCCCUAUCUAACAUCAGCGAGUCCAACGCUGGGCGAAGGAUUGUUGAGGAGGAAAGGACCAUUAUAGUCAGUGCAAUGGGCCAAGACCAUGUUCCAGAUCCCCCUCCCCUGAAAUCAGACCGCAGCUGAAGUUCAGCCUCUGGCAGGGAGAGUUCUGGUCAAGAAUGGGACUUCUCCUGGUUUUUUGGUUUGGGGGGGUCUCCCUCCCUCCACCGCGCCCCCAGGCCCUUUGGAAAUGCUGAUUGGAUUCAGAAUACACUGAACAACACCCUUGGAUGGAGACCAGGCCCAGGUAAAAGUGUGUGAAAGACGAAAAAGAAAAAGAACACAUGGACAGGGAUGACCGGGUGGUGAUUGAGGGUGGGGGGGGGAGUAUAAGGGGACAAAGUGGUCAUGGGAAAAAUAUAA